rnacentral:rRNA from 1 species
CCUACGGGCGGCAGCAGUCGAGAAUCAUUCACAAUGGGGGAAACCCUGAUGGUGCGACGCCGCGUGGGGGAAUGAAGGUCUUCGGAUUGUAAACCCCUGUCAUGUGGGAGCAAAUUAAAAAGAUAGUACCACACGAGGAAGAGACGGCUAACUCUGUGCCAGCAGCCGCGGUAAUACAGAGGUCUCAUGCGUUGUUCGGAAUCACUGGGCGUAAAGCGUGCGUAGGCUGUUUCGUAAGUCGUGUGUGAAAGGCGCGGGCUCAACCCGCGGACGGCACAUGAUACUGCGAGACUAGAGUAAUGGAGGGGGAACCGGAAUUCUCGGUGUAGCAGUGAAAUGCGUAGAUAUCGAGAGGAACACUCGUGGCGAAGGCGGGUUCCUGGACAUUAACUGACGCUGAGGCACGAAGGCCAGGGGAGCGAAAGGGAUUAGAUACCCCAGUAGUC